rnacentral:ncRNA from 1 species
ACGGUGCCUGAGGCUAAGGGUAGCUGAGGGUCAAAAGGGAAGCAGGUCAGAAUCCUGCACGAACCCGUCACUGUAAUUGCGGAGCAUUGUACGUCAGUCAGCUGAGCCACUGUGAAAACGGGAAGGCUGUGCAGUGCGAUGAUGCAUAAGUCAGGAAACCUGCCGUAUUG